rnacentral:lncRNA from 1 species
GCCGGGGAGCAAGCGGGGGAGCCCAGAAGCGGAGCCGGCGUGCGACGGAGGAGUUGAAUAUAUGCUUGGCGCGAGCGCUUACGACUCGCUUCCUUAGGGAAAAGGGAUCGCACGCGACUCGCUUCGGAAGGGAAAAGGGAUCCGACGGCGCGCGGGAUUUUUACGGCAGGACGACGGUUACGGGAGCGGCGACGUACGAGCGAAAAAUUUUCGCCAUCUGAGUUUUUUUUAGUUGUAGAGAUUAACAACUAUUUUGUGUUUGAUUAUUGAUUACUUGUUCUCCUCCC